rnacentral:rRNA from 1 species
UACGGGGGGGGGCAAGCGUUGUCCGGAAUUAUUGGGCGUAAAGAGCUCGUAGGCGGUCUGUCGACGUCUGCUGUGAAAACUCAGGGCUUAACCCUGAGCUUGCAGUGGGUACGGGCAGACUAGAGUGCGGUAGGGGAGACUGGAAUUCCUGGUGUAGCGGUGAAAUGCGCAGAUAUCAGGAGGAACACCGGUGGCGGAAGGCGGGGUCUCUGGGCCCGUAACUGACGCUGGAGGAGCGAAAGCGUCGGGAGCGAACAGG